rnacentral:rRNA from 1 species
UGACGGCGCGAGCAGGUGCGAAAGCAGGUCAUAGUGAUCCGGUGGUUCUGAAUGGAAGGGCCAUCGCUCAACGGAUAAAAGGUACUCCGGGGAUAACAGGCUGAUACCGCCCAAGAGUUCAUAUCGACGGCGGUGUUUGGCACCUCGAUGUCGGCUCAUCACAUCCUGGGGCUGAAGUAGGUCCCAAGGGUAUGGCUGUUCGCCAUUUAAAGUGGUACGCGAGCUGGGUUUAGAACGUCGUGAGACAGUUCGGUCCCUAUCUGCCGUGGGCGCUGGAGAACUGAGGGGGGCUGCUCCUAGUACGAGAGGACCGGAGUGGACGCAUCACUGGUGUUCGGGUUGUCAUGCCAAUGGCACUGCCCGGUAGCUAAAUGCGGAAGAGAUAAGUGCUGAAAGCAUCUAAGCACGAAACUUGCCCCGAGAUGAGUUCUCCCUGAGACUUUAAGUCUCCUGAAGGAACGUUGAAGACGACGACGUUGAUAGGCCGGGUGUGUAAGCGCAGCGAUGCGUUGAGCUAACCGGUACUAAUGAACCGUGAGG